AGAGUUUGCUUCUGGCUCAGGAUGAACGCUGGCGGCGUGCUUAACACAUGCAAGUCGAACGGGAAUUACUUUAUUGAAACUUCGGUCGAUUUAAUUUAAUUCUAGUGGCGGACGGGUGAGUAACGCGUGGGUAACCUGCCUUAUACAGGGGGAUAACAGUUGGAAACGGCUGCUAAUACCGCAUAAGCGCACAGCAUCGCAUGAUGCAGUGUGAAAAACUCCGGUGGUAUAAGAUGGACCCGCGUUGGAUUAGCUAGUUGGUGAGGUAACGGCCCACCAAGGCGACGAUCCAUAGCCGACCUGAGAGGGUGACCGGCCACAUUGGGACUGAGACACGGCCCAAACUCCUACGGGAGGCAGCAGUGGGGAAUAUUGCACAAUGGGCGAAAGCCUGAUGCAGCGACGCCGCGUGAGCGAAGAAGUAUUUCGGUAUGUAAAGCUCUAUCAGCAGGGAAGAUAAUGACGGUACCUGACUAAGAAGCACCGGCUAAAUACGUGCCAGCAGCCGCGGUAAUACGUAUGGUGCAAGCGUUAUCCGGAUUUACUGGGUGUAAAGGGAGCGCAGGCGGUGCGGCAAGUCUGAUGUGAAAGCCCGGGGCUCAACCCCGGUACUGCAUUGGAAACUGUCGUACUAGAGUGUCGGAGGGGUAAGCGGAAUUCCUAGUGUAGCGGUGAAAUGCGUAGAUAUUAGGAGGAACACCAGUGGCGAAGGCGGCUUACUGGACGAUAACUGACGCUGAGGCUCGAAAGCGUGGGGAGCAAAC
rnacentral:rRNA from 1 species